CGUACCACACUGCCGCAUUUUUUUCUCUCUCCCCCUCCUCUCGCGCUCCGACGACUGGUCGCCGCCGCUGCCCCAACGCCAGGUGCUAGGGUCUUCGGCGGCGACCAGAAUUUAACAGGAAUAUCAAAGAUGGACCUAUGCAAUCUCUGCGGUGACAAUCUCCACUGAGUUUCUGACCAAAACCAGACAUUUCUGUAACUUGAUGACCAAGCAUACGAGGAACAAAAAAAGUUCAUCUCAUCAGCUUAGAUCCUCGCAUCACAGGAAACCCUAAAGUAGUUCCAGAUUUUUUAAAAAAAUCCAGCAAGAUACCAUUUGCAGCGAUAGAGAAAUAUGCAUGGACAGAGGCAACUUGUCCAGUAUGCAUGGAAUUCCCACACAACGCUGUUCUUCUACUCUGUUCAUCACAUGGCAAUGGCUAUUGCCCAUAUAUUUGUGCUUCCAGCUACCAACACUCAAACUGUCUUGAUCAGCCUGUGGAGUCAUGCAGAAAAGAAGCCUCUGAGGACCCAGAUGCAAUAGAGCUUGCGUGUCCCCUUUGCCGUGGUGAGGUCAAGUGUUAUACCUUGGUUGACCCAGCUCGGAAGCAGCUGAAUCACAAGAAGAGGAGCUCCAUGGAAGAUGGUUGUUCAUACAUGGUUACAUACAUAGAGCUCUGAAAGCAUGUCCAAAAGAAACACCCUUCUGCAAACCCACGAGCUGUGGACCCCUUACAUGCUUACAGAUGGAAGAGACUUUUAUUUCGGCUGCUUCAGAAGCAGUUCGGCUGGCUGCAACUCUAUAACUACUAAGUAUUGUCGCAUGAACUAAAGAAUCUACAGCCGCAGCCAUAAAAAGUCUAGCUGGUCUGUUCAAGUACUUCAGAGGUGAUGCGAAGGUUUAUUUCUCUCAUGCUGCAGUUUGAGGAGCUUGUGGCUCCUUCGCGAGAGGGUGGUGACCGUCAUGGCGCUACCAUUGACGAUUCACUGCAAAGUGCCAAUGCAGAAUCCACUGAUCUAUAUGAUCUCUGGUCCUCUCGCCGAAAUGUGAGAAUCUGUGUUGAUCCUGCAGGCAAUCUUGCAUGAAUCCCUGACUUGCUCCCCCUGCCGAUAAGCCGAUUCACAAUUACUGACCUGACAAAGCGAUAGUAGCCUCCAUCUGUUCUCAGGGGAUGCUCAAUGGUAAUCUUGAAAUGAAACAGACUGUUAAGCUUUGAUGGAUUUAUUCAGUAACAGUGAUAAUGGCUGGUUGAAUGGCAUGGGGCUAGUGUGUCAUGUGAUGCAUUGUUAUCGUGCAGCGGCUAGCCCUCCCCCCUCCCUCGAUUGUAUGGCAUAACCGUUUCUAUGGAAUGCAAUGUGAUCCUGUUCCGAAAACGAAAUCGUGCCUUUUCCGCAUUCACUGCUUUAAUUGUUUUUGCAAGGCAAGUGCUGGGUAUUAUUACUUG